rnacentral:rRNA from 1 species
CACGUAGGGUGCGAGCGUUGUCCGGAAUUAUUGGGCGUAAAGAGCUCGUAGGCGGUGUGUCGCGUCGGCCGUGAAAACCUGCAGCUUAACUGUGGGCGUGCGGUCGAUACGGGCAGGCUGGAGUUCGGUAGGGGAGACUGGAAUUCCUGGUGUAGCGGUGAAAUGCGCAGAUAUCAGGAGGAACACCGGUGGCGAAGGCGGGUCUCUGGGCCGAUACUGACGCUGAGGAGCGAAAGCGUGGGGAGCGAACAGG